CAUUGAUGGAUGCUGAGAUGACCACCCCUCAGUGGGAGGAGUGAUUUGAUUGUCUGACAGUUUCAGCAGUCUAAAGCUCCAUAGUGGAUGCUCCUGGGACUGCAGGCAGGCCAAUAUAAGAGGCCCAGUUGAUUAUGGAAUAAGGAUGUGCGUGUCAUUGGCUAGACCAGCCUUCAUUGCCUUGAGAAUAGUUGAGAGUCAACCACAUUGCUUUGGCCCCGGUGUCACACAUAGGCUCAACAAGAAUCCAUUCACAGCAAAAUAGAAUUGAACUGUGAAUUCAUAUGUCAAAAGCUAAAAUUGCCAACAAAACUGCAGCAGAAUUGAAAACAUGGCACGCAACAAUAUUAGACGGAUCAUCUGAAGAUGUCACUGAGGUCGAACUCCCAGAGUUAUGAAUCUACUCAACAGCCAAAUACUUAUAUUGGCUGGUCUGUUUUCAAUUCAUUUUUUUGCUGUUUUCCAAUUGGGAUAAUCGCAAUGUGUUACUCCUGUCAGGUUCGCAGUUCUAUCCAAAUGGGAAACAUGGAAAAAGCCUUAAAUGCUUCGAAAAUUGCCAGAAAGUUGAACAUUGCAGCCACUGUAUUUGGAAUAUUGGCAAUUUUUAUUUUUGUAAUC